CUUAUACUAAAACAAGAACAAAGUACAGAGGGUCACCACUCAUAUCAUUUUAUUGUCUUCCACCAAACAAACUCAGGGUUCAGGCAACUUACAGUUAUUGCAGCACAUUAGUAUAGCAAAAAAAUGCUUUAAAGCUUAAUGCUAGAAUAUUAAGUAUCACUUAACGGAGUCUGACGAUAUGCCACAGUGAAAGUAGCACCAUAAAAGCUGAGCAGUAUGUCUUUUACAGAAAGAAUUGGUACACAAGAAAAAUCCUUGAUGAUGAUUUAUUGGUCCAUGUCCAUUUUCAUUAUCCUGAGACAAGCGUGAUACAUACACACUUACAAUCCAUCAAGCAGCAACCUGAACAAAUAGACAC
rnacentral:lncRNA from 1 species